CGAGGGGCAGCAUGGUCUUAGCUUGCUAAGGCUGAUGGCGACCGGCGCACGGGUGAGUAACACGUAUCCAACCUGCCGUCUACUCUUGGCCAGCCUUCUGAAAGGAAGAUUAAUCCAGGAUGGCAUCAUGAGUUCACAUGUCCGCAUGAUUAAAGGUAUUUUCCGGUAGACGAUGGGGAUGCGUUCCAUUAGAUAGUAGGCGGGGUAACGGCCCACCUAGUCAACGAUGGAUAGGGGUUCUGAGAGGAAGGUCCCCCACAUUGGAACUGAGACACGGUCCAAACUCCUACGGGAGGCAGCAGUGAGGAAUAUUGGUCAAUGGGCGAUGGCCUGAACCAGCCAAGUAGCGUGAAGGAUGACUGCCCUAUGGGUUGUAAACUUCUUUUAUAAAGGAAUAAAGUCGGGUAUGCAUACCCGUUUGCAUGUACUUUAUGAAUAAGGAUCGGCUAACUCCGUGCCAGCAGCCGCGGUAAUACGGAGGAUCCGAGCGUUAUCCGGAUUUAUUGGGUUUAAAGGGAGCGUAGAUGGAUGUUUAAGUCAGUUGUGAAAGUUUGCGGCUCAACCGUAAAAUUGCAGUUGAUACUGGAUGUCUUGAGUGCAGUUGAGGCAGGCGGAAUUCGUGGUGUAGCGGUGAAAUGCUUAGAUAUCACGAAGAACUCCGAUUGCGAAGGCAGCCUGCUAAGCUGCAACUGACAUUGAGGCUCGAAAGUGUGGGUAUCAAACAGGAUUAGAUACCCUGGUAGUCCACACGGUAAACGAUGAAUACUCGCUGUUUGCGAUAUACGGCAAGCGGCCAAGCGAAAGCGUUAAGUAUUCCACCUGGGGAGU
rnacentral:rRNA from 1 species